rnacentral:rRNA from 1 species
UAGUCAUAUGCUUGUCUCAAAGAUUAAGCCAUGCAUGUCUAAGUAUGAGUUCAUUUAUGUUCCUAACUGCGAACGGCUCAUUAAAUCAGUUAUAAUCUACUCGGUUAUCAUCUUUUAGAUGGAUAACUCUGGCAAAUCUAGAGCUAAUACAUGCGUAAAAACCCGACUUUUUGGAAGGGUUCCACUAUCUUUUUUUAACCAAUAGGUUGGACUCUGUUCAACCUUUUGAUGAUUCUUGAUAGUUUGAGCUUAUCGUAGUAGCCUCGUGCUUACGAUAAACCGAUCGAGUAUCUGCCCUAUCAGCUUGUUGGUAAUGUAUUGGAUUACCAUGGCCAUAACGGGUAACGGGGAAUUAGGGUUCGGUUCCGGAGAGGGAGCCUGAGAAAUGGCUACCACUUCCAAGGAAGGCAGCAGGCGCGCAAAUUACCCAAUCCUAAAACGGGGAGGUAGUGACAAUACAUAUCGACGUGGAUUUCUUUUUGAAAUUCGCGAUCGACAUGAGUACAAUCCAAAAAACUUAACGAGGAUCAAUU